rnacentral:lncRNA from 1 species
UGUUACUUUAGGUUGACUAGUCAUUAAGGCUGUGUGUUGUACUAUAGGUUGACUAGUCAUUAAGGCUGUGUUACUUUAGGUUGACUAGUCAUUAAGGCUGUGUUACUAUAGGUUGACUAGUCAUUAAAGCUGUGUGUUUUACUUUAGGUUGACUAGUCAUUAAGGCUGUUUGUGUUACUUUAGGUUGACUAGUCAUUAAGGCUGUGUGUUGUACUAUAGGUUGACUAGUCAUUAAGGCUGUGUUACUUUAGGUUGACUAGUCAUUAAGGCUGUGUUACUAUAGGUUGACUAGUCAUUAAGGCUGUGUGUGUUACUUUAGGUUGACUAGUCAUUAAGGCUGUGUUACUUUAGGUUGACUAGUCAUUAAGGUUGUGUGUGUUACUAUAGGUUGACUAGUCAUUAAGGCUGUGUUACUUUAGGUUGACUAGUCAUUAAGGCUUUGUUUGUUACUUUAGGUUGACUAGUCAUUAAGGCUGUGUUACUUUAGGUUGACUAGUCAUUAAGGCUGUGUUACUAUAGGUUGACUAGUCAUUAAGGAUGUGUGUUUUACUUUAGGUUGACUAGUCAUUAAGGCUGUGUUACUUUAGGCUGACUAGUCAUUAAAACUGUGUGUGUUACUUUAGGUUGACUAGUCAUUAAGGCUGUGUGUUUUACUUUAGGUUGACUAGUCAUUAAGGCUGUGUGUGUUACUAUAGGUUGACUAGUCAUUAAGGCUGUGUUACUAUAGGUUGACUAGUCAUUAAGGCUGUGUUACUAUAGGUUGACUAGUCAUUAAGGAUGUGUGUUUUACUUUAGGUUGACUAGUUAUUAAGGCUGUGUUACUUUAGGCUGACUAGUCAUUAAAACUGUGUGUUACUUUAGGUUGACUAGUCAUUAAGGCUGUGUGUUUUACUUUAGGUUGACUAGUCAUUAAGGCUGUGUGUUUUACUUUAGGUUGACUAGUCAUUAAGGCUGUGUGUGUUACUAUAGGUUGACUAGUCAUUAAGGCUGUGUUACUUUAGGUUGACUGGUCAUUAAGGCUGUGUUACUAUAGGUUGACUAGUCAUUAAGGCUGUGUUACUUUAGGUUGACUAGUCAUUAAGGCUGUGUUACUUUAGGUUGACUGGUCAUUAAGGCUGUGUGUGUUACUAUAUGUUGAGUAGUAAUUAAGGCUGUGUUACUUUAGGUUGACUAGUCAUUAAGGCUGUGUUACUUUAGGUUGACUGGUCAUUAAGGCUGUGUGUUUUACUUUAGGUUGACUAGUCAUUAAGGCUGUGUGUUUUACUUUAGGUUGACUAGUCAUUAAGGCUGUGUGUGUUACUAUAGGUUGACUAGUCAUUAAGGCUGUGUUACUUUAGGUUGACUGGUCAUUAAGGCUGUGUUACUAUAGGUUGACAAGUCAUUAAGGCUGUGUUACUUUAGGUUGACUAGUCAUUAAGGCUGUGUUACUAUAGGUUGACUAGUCAUUAAGGCUGUGUUACUUUAGGUUGACUAGUCAUUAAGGCUGUGUUACUUUAGGCUGACUAGUCAUUAAGGCUGUGUUACUUUAGGUUGACUAGUCAUUAAGGCUGUGUGUGUUACUAUAGGUUGACUAGUCAUUAAGGCUGUGUUACUUUAGGUUGACUGGUCAUUAAGGCUGUGUUACUAUAGGUUGACUAGUCAUUAAGGCUGUGUUACUUUAGGUUGACUAGUCAUUAAGGCUGUGUUACUUUAGGUUGACUGGUCAUUAAGGCUGUGUGUGUUACUAUAUGUUGACUAGUCAUUAAGGCUGUGUUACUUUAGGUUGACUAGUCAUUAAGGCUGUGUUACUUUAGGUUGACUAGUCAUUAAGGCUGUUUUACUUUAGGUUGACUAGUCAUUAAGGCUGUGUGUUGUACUAUAGGUUGACUAGUCAUUAAGGCUGUGUUACUUUAGGUUGACUAGUCAUUAAGGCUGUGUUGCUUUAGGUUGACUAGUCAUUAAGGCUGUGUUACUUUAGGUUGACUAGUCAUUAAGGCUGUGUUACUUUAGGUUGACUAGUCAUUAAGGCAGUGUGUUGUACUGUUGGUUGACUAGUCAUUAAGGCUGUGUGUUGUACUAUUGGUUGACUAGUCAUUAAGGCUGUGUUACUUUAGGUUGACUAGUCAUUAAGGCUGUGUGUUGUACUAUAGGUUGACUAGUCAUUAAGGCUGUGUUACUUUAGGUUGACUAGUCAUUAAGGCUGUGUUACUAUAGGUUGACUAGUCAUUAAGGCUGUGUGUUUUACUUUAGGUUGACUAGUCAUUAAGGCUGUGUUACUUUAGGUUGACUAGUCAUUAAGGCUGUGUUACUAUAGGUUGACUAGUCAUUAAGGCUGUGUUACUUUAGGUUGACUGGUCUAUAUUAUUAUAGUGUUCUAUAUUGUUAUAGUGUUCUAUAUUGUUAUAGUGUUCUAUAUUGUUAUAGUGUUCUGUAUUGUUCUAGUGUUCUAUAUUAUUAUAAUGUUCUAUAUUGUUAUAGUGUUCUAUAUUGUUAUAGUGUUCUAUAUUGUUAUAGUGUUCUAUAUUAUUAUAGUGUUCUAUAUUGUUGU